GACGUAGGGCGCGAGCGUUGUCCGGAUUUAUUGGGCGUAAAGAGCUCGUAGGCGGCUUGUCGCGUCGUCCGUGAAAACCUGCAGCUCAACUGCAGGCUUGCGGUCGAUACGGGCAGGCUAGAGUUCGGUAGGGGAGACUGGAAUUCCUGGUGUAGCGGUGAAAUGCGCAGAUAUCAGGAGGAACACCGGUGGCGAAGGCGGGUCCCUGGACAACUUCUGACGCUGAGGCACGAAAGCUAGGGGAGCAAACAGG
rnacentral:rRNA from 1 species